rnacentral:rRNA from 1 species
ACGGAAGGCAGCAGUGGGGGAUAUUGCACAAUGGGCGCAAGCCUGCUGCAGCGAUGCCGCGUGAGGGAAGAAGGUUUUCGGAUUGUAAACCUCUGUCAACAGGGACGAAAAUGACGGUACCUGUGAAGGAAGCUCCGGCUAACUACGUGCCAGCAGCCGCGGUAAUACGUAGGGAGCAAGCGUUAUCCGGAAUUACUGGGUGUAAAGGGAGUGUAGGCGGGACUGUAAGUCAGAUGUGAAAUAUGCCGGCUCAACUGGCAGACUGCAUUUGAAACUGCGGUUCUUGAGUGAAGUAGAGGUAAGCGGAAUUCCUAGUGUAGCGGUGAAAUGCGUAGAUACUAGGAGGAACAUCAGUGGCGAAGGCGGCUUACUGGGCUUUAACUGACGCUGAGGCUCGAAAGCGUGGGGAGCAAACAGGAUUAGAUACCCUGGUA